ACAUAUGCCACGUAUUUCCAACUAAUAUAACAAAAAAUUGGAAACCAUAUCAUAUAGUGAAUAUUAACAAACAAAAACCUAUUGAUGUUAGAAAUGGCAGCCAAACUCCACAUCUCUUCUUCCUUUAGCCACAAGGCCAAUGAUUCGCCAACUUCAUCAUCUUCCUCAUAUUCAUCGUUUCUUGCUCUGCCUCAAUUCCUCUGUACACCGUUUUCAUCAGGCUUUGCACAGUUCAAGCUUCACGCCAAAUUAGGUGGAGGAGAUGGAGAAGUGAAACCUAAAGAAAAGAAGAAGUUCAUAACCAAAGAGGAAGAACCAGAACAGUAUUGGCAAAGCACUGGCGAAAGAGAAGGGGAGAACCCGAUGAAGACUCCUCUCCCUUACAUAAUCAUUUUUGACGCAGCUUGGAAGAAGGAGAACAACAUGGCAGCCUUCGGUUGCAUAUUCACCAAUAGACAGGGCCGUAUACACUAUCAAACGACUCAAGCAGAGAGGAACGUUCCUUCACCGCGGGUGGCGGAAGCUCUAGCACUACGGUGGGUACUCAUAGCAGCCCUUUUACAGGGUUUCUCUAGAAUCUGUUUCAACACAGAUUGUCGAUUGCUCUUAGCAGCACUCACCUCGAAAGCUCCUUCGGCUGAUCUCCACGGGAUCGUCCAAGACAUCAAUCAUUUUGUAAUGACCCAACCCCAACUCCAAAGGCCAAAGAAUUUGAGCUGCCUGAGAUCGUCGCCGAAGCUACCUCACCCACGGAACGUGCCAGCCUCGGCACCACCGAUAACCGCCCAAGACCACCAUCGUGUUCGUCUCGUCGAGACGAAGCCAUAGACACCAACCGCGCCGCGAUCGGAGCCCGGACGAGCCCUCACGCGCCUCCAGAAGACCGCCCUUCGCACGCGCGUGAAACGCACGCGCGUGAAACGCAUGCGCCUCCGGCGAAACCGUCGCCUCGCCGGAGCCGCCGUAGCCGGCCGCCAUCAGUCCGCCGCCGGGAAGCCGCCGCCGCGUCGCCGGUGACUUUUCUGGUAAGCCACCGCCGUCGUUGCCGGUGACCGUCACCGGUGACACGCCGGCGACUCGCCAACUCGGCCGAGUCGACCCGAUUUGGAGUCCAUUUGAGCAGCUGGAGUUCAUAAUUACCUCUUCUUAUUGUUUCUAAGGUGAGACCGACGAGCAGGAGUGAUUAUCAGACUGGUGCUAUUGGUCUUUUGGGCUUUUACUACUAUCGAGCUUUGGAUUUCUAUCACUUUUAGCGUUUUAUCGCUUUUGGACCUUUGGGCUUCCAUCUAUCGUUUAUGUUAUUUCAUAUUUCGGACUCUUGGUUUAUGUCGUACUUUAUGUUUCGGAUGUUUGACGUUGACUUUCAAAUAUUUAUAUAUGGAUAUUUCGGAUA